GCAGGGGCUGGGGCUCAGUGGCAGAGCACUUGUCUAGCAAGUGUGAGGCACUGGGUUCAAUUCUCAGCACUGCA
rnacentral:tRNA from 1 species